rnacentral:rRNA from 1 species
UACGAAGGGGGCUAGCGUUGUUCGGAAUCACUGGGCGUAAAGCGCACGUAGGCGGAUGUGCCAGUCAGGGGUGAAAUCCCGGAGCUCAACUUCGGAACUGCCUCUGAUACAGCACGUCUUGAGUCCGGAAGAGGUGGGUGGAAUUCCCGGUGUAGCGGUGAAAUGCGCAGAUAUCGGGAGGAACACCAAUGGCGAAGGCAGCUCGCUGGGACGGUACUGACGCUGAGACGCGAAGGCGUGGGGAGCAAACAGG